rnacentral:tRNA from 1 species
CCGAUAUAGCUCAGUUGGUAGAGCGAUUGAUUCGUAAUCAGUAGGUCAUGGGUUCGAGUCCCAUUAUCGG